UACGUAGCAGCAAGCGUUGUUCGGAGUUACUGGGCGUAAAGGGUGUGUAGGCGGUUCUCUAAGUCUGGUGUGAAAUCUCCCGGCUCAACUGGGAGGGUGCGCCGAAAACUGGAGGACUAGAGUCCGGAAGAGGAGAAUGGAAUUCCUGGUGUAGCGGUGAAAUGCGCAGAUAUCAGGAAGAACACCCGUGGCGAAGGCGGUUCUCUGGACAGUUCCUGACGCUGAGGCACGAAGGUCAGGGGAGCAAACGGG
rnacentral:rRNA from 1 species